GGGCACAGUUCGACAUUGUUCAUUUUCUGAUAAACUUCCUGCUUUUUUCAAGCUAAAAAUAAAGAUUGAGCGAAAAGCUAAAGCGCGAACACCAAAAGAUGUGCUCAUUAUUAUCAGGAUGGACAACAGUUAACGCUUUUGAUAAAGCAGUCAUGCCAAGGAAGAGAUUAGCAUGUAACCAGCAAAGUUCAUCCUUGUCUUCAACACUAUGGUGACAACAAUUAAUACAUAUCUUCGAAAAUGCAUGUUGCCAAUCCUGGUGCAACCUGAGCUUACCAAGUUUACAUCUUACUGUCAGUUUGGACAUUGUGUAGAUGAUUAAAUGGACAAUAUAUUGUUUUUUGAUUGACUUUUUUUAACAGAUACAGUGUUUUAUUCCAGACUUAACACAUCAUUUUUCAUCAAGGAAUAACAAAAAUACAAUUUGAUUAAUAUGCAUGAAUUUGUAGUACAUAGUAUCAACAAUGUGUAUCUUAUGGUUUUUUUUAACAGUCUGUCAUCCAUAAGUAAUCAUAUUAAGCAUGUUAAGUAUGUUUAGGGAAUAUAAUGUAUACAGUUUUGUUGUUUCUGCAAACUUAGUCAGAUACAUGAAAAUCUGUUUUAUGAUUAAUAAUGAAAAACUCACUCAUAGUGAUCUCACUAUAAAAUAUUCUGUCCAGUAUGAUAAAUAUAUUGUAUUGUAUGCCUGGUAUGGGUUCUAAAAAUAAAAUCACAAAUACUGUUGUUGUUCAUACUGACAUCAAGAUAUUUGAUGUAAACACAUGUUAUCUAUACAUGUAUAUUAUUUUUACCGGUAAACAAACAUUGUGGAGUGUAAUGUUCAAUCUAUGAUGAUGUGUGCCAUUAAAUAUGUCUUGCUGAUUGCUAUAAUUUUGUUUAAGUUAAAAUUCAUGUUUUUGAACCUCUACAUAUGAAAUGAGUAAAUUUUGUUUUCUAUCUACACUUAUGCUAAGUUUAAUAAUAUAUUUACUAUACAUAUAUUGUUGAUUACACAUAGCAUGUAUAUGCAAUUGAAAAUGCACUGUUUCCAUAGCAACUGUAAAGUAAUUUAAUUAAAUUUGUCUACUUAAUUUUAUCAAUUGUUUAAUAAAAUAGAAUUGCUAAAUAAAAACAUGUCUGGUAGUAUAGAUGCAAAACACAAAUUGUAUCAUGAGCAGUUAUUAAUUUUAGUUUCAAAUUUGUAGCUAUACAAACUGUUCAAUUUCUGAAUACACGCCUAUUUCAAGAAAAUGUGCAAACAUUUUUUUAGUAAUAAACAUGUUAAUGAUGUUCCAUAUCUGUCUAGGGCAUUUUUUUUAUUUUGCUGUUAUGAUUUUGUCUUAAAUUCUUUAAAAUGGUAAUAAAUAUAAAAAAAGAACAUGUUUGUUUCCAUGGCAACCACGAGUAUUUAUGAUUUAUAAUACUACAAUAAAUUCUGUAUUUUGUAAUCUAUUAUGUUCUUCGACAUAUGCGAAUAAUGGAGUUAUUAUCAACACGAACUGAUCAACAUAACAUGUACUGAUAUUUAUUGAAUUAAGACUUCAUUUGAUACUUAUUGAAGUAAGACG